rfam:Triticum urartu cultivar G1812 contig1191356, whole genome shotgun sequence.
UUUCUAUUACCUCUGUCCCAAAUUAAUUGUUUUAGAUUUAUCUAGAUAUGGAUGUAUCUAACACGUGUGUAGAUAAAUCCAUAUCUAACAAAUCUAAGACAAAUAGUUCGGAACAGAGGGAGUAUGUA